AUUGAACGCUGGCGGCAGGCCUAACACAUGCAAGUCGAGCGGCAGCGGAAAGUAGCUUGCUACUUUGCCGGCGAGCGGCGGACGGGUGAGUAAUGUCUGGGAAACUGCCUGAUGGAGGGGGAUAACUACUGGAAACGGUAGCUAAUACCGCAUAACGUCGCAAGACCAAAGAAGGGGACCUUCGGGCCUCUUGCCAUCAGAUGUGCCCAGAUGGGAUUAGCUAGUAGGUGGGGUAACGGCUCACCUAGGCGACGAUCCCUAGCUGGUCUGAGAGGAUGACCAGCCACACUGGAACUGAGACACGGUCCAGACUCCUACGGGAGGCAGCAGUGGGGAAUAUUGCACAAUGGGCGCAAGCCUGAUGCAGCCAUGCCGCGUGUAUGAAGAAGGCCUUAGGGUUGUAAAGUACUUUCAGCGGGGAGGAAGGUGUUGAGGUUAAUAACCUCAGCAAUUGACGUUACCCGCAGAAGAAGCUCCGGCUAACUCCGUGCCAGCCGCCGCAGUAA
rnacentral:rRNA from 1 species